rnacentral:rRNA from 1 species
AUUGAACGCUGGCGGCAGGCCUAACACAUGCAAGUCGAGCGGAGCGGGGACAGGUGAGUAACACGUGGGUAACCUCCCAUCAGAGGGGAAAACACUUGGAAACAGGUGCUAAACCGAUACUGAUGGAUGGACCCGCGGGGCAUUAGCUAGUGGGUGAGGUAACGGCUCACCACGGCCACGAUGCCUAGCCGACCUGAGAGGGUGACCGGCCACACUGGUACUGAGACACGGCCCAGACUCCUACGGGAGGCAGCAGUAGGGAAUAUUCGGCAAUGGACGAAAGUCUGACGGAGCAACGCCGCGUGAGUGAAGAAGGUUUUCGGAUCGUAAAACUCUGUUGUUAGAGAAGCGGUAUCUAACCAGAAAGCCACGGCUAACUACGUGCCAGCAGCCGCGGUAAUUC